rnacentral:rRNA from 1 species
UACAGAGGUCUCAAGCGUUGUUCGGAUUCAUUGGGCGUAAAGGGUGCGUAGGUGGCGCCAUAAGUCAGGUGUGAAAUCUCGGGGCUCAACCCCGAAACUGCAUUGGAUACUAUCCGGCUCGAGGAAUGGAGGGGAGACUGGAAUACUUGGUGUAGCAGUGAAAUGCGUAGAUAUCAAGUGGAACACCAGUGGCGAAGGCGAGUCUCUGGACAUUUCCUGACGCUGAGGCACGAAAGCCAGGGGAGCAAACGGG